UACGGUUAGAUUUAAAGUUUAGGUUUAGGGUUAUAUUUAGAGUUAGAUUUAAAGUUUAGGUUUAGAGUUAGAUUUAAAGUUUAGGUUUAGGGUUAUGUUUAGAGUUACAUUUAAAUGUUAUGUUUAUAGUUAGAUUUAAAGUAUAGGUUUAUGGUUAGGUUUAAAGUUUGGAUUUAGGGUUAUGUUUAGGGUAAGCUUUACAUUUUAGAGUUAGAUUUAAAGUUUAGGUUUAGGGUUAGAUUUAAAGUUUAGGUUUAGAGUUAUGUUUAGAGUUAGAUUUAAAGUUUAGGUUUACGGUUAGAUUUAAAGUUUAGGUUUAGGGUUAUAUUUAGAGUUAGAUUUAAAGUUUAGGUUUAGUGUUAUGUUUAGAGUUAGAUUUAAAGUUUAGGUUUAGAGUUAUGUUUAGAGUUAGAUUUAAAGUUUAGGUUUAGGGUUAGAUUUAAAGUUUAGGUUUAUGGUUGUAUUUAGAGUUAGAUUUAAAGUUUAGGUUUAGGGUUAGAUUUAAAGUUUAGGUUUAUGGUUGUAUUUAGAGUUAGAUUUAAAGUUUAGGUUUAGGGUUAGAUUUAAAGUUUAGGUUUAUGGUUGUAUUUAGAGUUAGAUUUAAAGUUUAGGUUUAGAGUUAUGUUUAGAGUUAGAUUUAAAGUUUAGGUUUACGGUUAGAUUUAAAGUUUAGGUUUAGGGUUAUAUUUAGAGUUAGAUUUAAAGUUUAGGUUUAGGGUUAUAUUUAGAGUUAGAUUUAAAGUUUAGGUUUAGAGUUAUGUUUAGAGUUAGAUUUAAAGUUUAGGUUUAGAGUUAGAUUUAAAGUUUAGGUUUAGGGUUAGAUUUAAAGUUUAGGUUUAUGGUUGUAUUUAGAGUUAGAUUUAAAGUUUAGGUUUACGGUUAGAUUUAAAGUUUAGGUUUAUGGUUGUAUUUAGAGUUAGAUUUAAAGUUUAGGUUUAGGGUUAUAUUUAGAGUUAGAUUUAAAGUUUAGGUUUAGGGUUAGAUUUAAAGUUUAGGUUUAGGGUUGUGUUU